AAACCAACAGGGAUUGCCUCAGUAACGGCGAGCGAAGCGGCAAAAGCUCAAAUUUGAAAUCUGGCGCUUUCAGCGUCCGAGUUGUAAUUUGAAGAAGUAACUUUGGAGUUGGUCCUUGCACAUGUUCCUUGGAACAGGACAUCAUAGAGGGUGAGAAUCCCGUACAUGGUGAGGUGCCCAACUCUUUGUAAAGUACUUUCCAAGAGUCGAGUUGUUUGGGAAUGCAGCUCUAAGUGGGUGGUAAAUUCCAUCUAAGGCUAAAUAUUGGCGAGAGACCGAUAGCGAACAAGUACAGUGAUGGAAAGAUGAAAAGAACUUUGAAAAGAGAGUGAAAUAGUACGUGAAAUUGUUGAAAGGGAAGGGCUUGAAAUCAGACUUGGCUUGUAGUGAUCAACUGUCUCUUGGGACUGUGCACUCGCUGCUUGCUAGGCCAACAUCGGUUUUGGCGGUAAGAUAAUGUCAGUUGAAUGUGGCUCAUUCGUGAGUGUUAUAGCUUCUGUCGAUAUUGCCAGCCGGGACCGAGGACUGCGCAUUUAUGCUAGGAUGUUGGCGUAAUGAUUUUAAGCCAC
rnacentral:rRNA from 1 species